rnacentral:lncRNA from 1 species
AACAAAAUUUAUGAGGAAUAAACUAAAAUGAAUGAUUAUGCAAAAUAUACAAAAAUGCAAUGAAAACACAUCAUUUACUCUCUAAGUAGUAUUGAUUUAAGUUUAAAAGUCCUCAAGUAAUGACAACAACACUAAUACUUCAAUCACACGAUCAUGCAACAAUUAACUUAGCUCUGUCAUCAAAUUUAUGAGGAUUCUUCAACCCUCAGAUCACACUCUUAGUCAUACAAAAUUGCCGCAGUAGUUCAAGUUUUAGACUUAGGCCUCAUUCUGUCCAAAGUGUGUGUGCACCACUUUGAUCAAAUUCCAGAGGUGUUACAACAUUACACAGACUUUGCCCAAUUUUUUUUUUUACUUGCUUCAAUUUAAUGCAAA